AUCUUUACCAGAUGUUAACAGUACUUACUAUUCCCACUCGAAGACCCAUUGCCCAGCGCUGGUGUCUUGCAUGUAUGCUGUUUGUGCUUUGCAAUCUUGCUGCUGCAACUCCAGGUCUUGUGGUGGGGAAAUUACAACUACUGCAAAGGACGAUAGGCCCAGGGCAAUGUUGGUAGAUCUCACUAGGCGUACAAUUGUCGUUACUUCUGUGCACGACCAGUCCUGUAUGAGAUUUACACAGACUCUUAUACCAACUUGAGGAAAUGAGGUGCCAGCAACUUUCAGUAACAACUCCAGUAGAGCUCUGUAAGUUGCUGCAUAAGGAUUGUGCGUUUUCCAGAGAGUAAAGCAUUUUGUCAUGGCUACUUGAGUUCCUUCUCUAUGGUACAACACAUUCACAUCGGCUUGUUCAGCAGGAG